UAGGCUCAUGAUGAGACUAAGGCGAAUGCGACUCCAGCCCUUGUCCUUGACCCACCACCACCACUGGGGGGUGGGUUUUCUGGUGGCAUCUGAAACCUCAGCGGGGUCCCUGAGGCCCAGCUCCUCGCUGUAGGGCAGAUCAAGAGCAUAGCAGCCUCACCUCCCAUCUCUGCAGCUGUUUCUAGCCCCUAAUAGCUGCCUGGAGGUGGGGCCCACAGGUAGGGGACUAGUGGGACUGGGCAGAGACCUUCUGAGCGCAACCUUGGAUCUGACC